AUGGGUUAGCUGUGCGCGGGUUACCCAUACUGGAGUUACCUGUACAGGAGUUACCUGUACACAGGUUACCCAUACUGGAGUUACCUGUACAGGGGUUACCUGUACUGGAGUUACCUGUACAUGGGUUACCUGUACAGGAGUUACCUGUACAGGGAUUACCUGUACUGGAGUUAUCUGUACGCGGGUUAGCUGUACAGGGGUUAGCUGUAAAGGGAUUACCUGUGUGCGGGUUACCUGUACAGGGGUUACCUAUGCGCUGUAUGCGGGUUAGCUGUACUGGAGUUACCUGUGCGCAGGUUACCCGUGCUGGGGUUACCUGUACAGGGGUUACCUGUACUGGAGCUACCUGUACACAGGUUACCCGUACUGCAGUUACCUGUACUGCAGUUACCUGUACUGCAGUUACCUGUACACAGGUUACUCGUACUGCAGUUACCUGUACUGCAGUUACCUGUACACAGGUUACCUGUACUGCAGUUACCUGUAAUGCAGUUACCUGUACUGGAGUUACCUGUACAGGAGCUACCUGUACACAGGUUACCCGUACAGGAGUUACCCGUACAGGAGUUACCCGUACAGGAGUUACCUGUACUGCAGUUACCUGUACUGCAGUUACCUGUACAGGAGUUACCUGUACAGGAGUUACCUGUACUGCAGUUACCCGUACUGCAGUUACCUGUGCCUGGCUGCCGCUGCCUGGCUCCGGCACAAAUGAGCGCUUUUUGUCCCCGGUGUGCAGGGCAGGAGCGGGGCCCGCGCUGGGAGUUAACGGAAGGAGGAUUUGGGUAGAGAGAGGACAGAAAGCUCUCAGAGGUUGGGGAGUGUGCAGCUGUGAUUGCUGAUCAUCCAGGCUGGAAUGCAGAGCUGGGGGAGGCAGAGCCUCUGCAAAUGCACCUUUGUGAUGGUGGGGUUGUCUGUGCCUUCUUGUCCAGCGUCCGAAAUUGAGGCUGGUUUUAGCUGGCUUUAACUGGCUAUCUUGGUCUUUAUUUAUUUUUUAUUUUUUUUUUUACUUCAUUCAUCCCUGCGGAUGGCUUUUGUUGAGAGAGGAGGUUUUUGUAACUGGAGAAAGCCGUGUUUGGAAAUCAUGUUACCCUUUGGGAUACUGGCUGGCUCUGAAAUCCUCCUGCGCCUUUGCCUUGGCUCCGAGGCUCUUAGCUGACAACAACAGCUCGUGAGGAGGAGCUGGAGCUGCUCCAAGUGGACACGGAACUCCCUGGCGGAUGACAGCUCCCAUCCCCGUGCCCAGGAUCCACGGAGAGCAGCAGUGAUUCAUGAGGCUGCUAUGAGGAUUUGUCAUCUGUGGGCUGGCACUGCUCUGUGUUCAUUAGUUGUCCUGGACUUCAGAGCUGUUUGUUAUUCUCUGAUUAGCCCAAUAAUUAAAUUCAAACAAAGACUGA